CGGUUCUCAGGGGAGGCUGAAGGAUCGCAAAUUUGAACCCAGUUCGGGCAAUUUAGUGACUUGAGGAAACCCUGUCUCAAAAAUUUUUUUAAAAAAUGGGCCGUGGAUGUAGCGCAGUGCGAAGGCGUUGGGUUCAAUCACCAUCAUCAUUAAAAAGAAAAAGACGUGAUUUUAAAAGUGCUGUUCGACAUGUGACGGUGGGCUCUGUCACUCAGUGGUUAUUCCACCUGCCUCUCAAGUACAAGGACCCGAGUUCGAUCCUUGGUACCAAAAAAGAAAAAAAAGAGGCCAAAGAAAUGCAUCAUAUAGGGAUCCUACAACUUUGAUGAGUCACCCAAGCUCCUGAGCGGGAAGACUGCUGGACUCCAGAGGACCAGGAAUCAACAAAUGUAGUGAGCCAAAGGAGGGUCACCAAAAGGGAACAUUCCUUGAAGAUGGGGCUCCAAGACAAAGAGAAUUGACUACACCCACAUACUUCCCCUAGGGAGGAAGAAAGGAGAUUGAUAUUCUAAAUAGGCAUCAAUCACCUUGCGUGGGGACCAAAGCCGCCCUAGCCCAUUCCUUCCAGGAAAAAUCCUUGUUUGGUCCAUGCAAUCUUGGUAUGUGACUUGCUUUCCCAGUUUAUCCUCAUUUAAUCAAUAUCACCUAAGUGACUAUAUUUGUAAUCUUAUCAGUUGACUGUAGUUUUGUCCCACCUUAGGCCCACCUGACCUCGUGGCUUUGCUCAAUAAAACUCCCUUGAAAAGCAGGGUCCCCAGGCAACCCACU